rnacentral:lncRNA from 1 species
GGUACAUAUAUAAUACUCCAUCCGAAGAACUACAUAUGUGCGUUAGUAUUUCUAGGGAGGAUAAAGGGGGAGGCAGGAAGAAAGAUAAGUUGUACUAUACCUGCACAUAUAGAUAUUAAAGUUACAAUUCAGUAAUCAAGUGUUUUUAAAGAAACGGUUAAUAAAAUAUAUGAAACUCAAAAGUUAUAAAUUCGAAAAUUCCUCCAAGGCAAAGGCUCAAGAUAUCUAUCUCUGUCUUAACACUAACUUUUAGAAUUUGAGACUUCUUUAGGUAACCAAGCAUAUAUUAUCCAAGAUAAUAAUCAUUCAAUAUGUGUAACCAAGCAUAAAUCAUUCACGAUUUCAUUCGUUUAUUCGAUGUUCUGCUAUGAAUGUCAAACCAGAAACAACAAUUCCUUUUCUCUUUCAUCUAGAUAUGAAGUUAGAAUUUGACAACAUCCUUUACUAUAAAAAAGAAACUCCUUGAUUCUACUGCAUGUAGCCACACACAACUAAAGACAUUGUAAAAUUAUACACAGUCGAACAUAGAACUAAUGUGCACGCGACAACUAAGAGCAGAAGCCAGAUAAACAUUUUAUUCUUAAAGAAUUGAAUCCCGAGCUGCAAGAAUAUUCUUCUUUCACGUAAUCAAUCCACAUAAACUUUCAUAAUUUAAAAUUAAAAUAAAAUAAAGAAGGAAUUUUCACUAUCCAAGAAUUGAAUUUCCUCAAUUUCUAAACUACCAAAAUAUUUUUGUUUGACGUAAGUGGAGCGACAUAAAAUUACAAAAGCAAAUGCUCAUUAAAAAUAUUUAAAAAAAAAUAUUUUUAACACAUACGGAGAUUUUUUGUCAAGAACAAAUCUUUUCUAACACUUUGAGCUGCUACAAAACAAUCGUGCUUCACAUAAGUGACCCAUCUAAAUAAUAAUAACAAAUAGCCACUAAAAAUAAUUUAAAAAAUUAUAACCGUAACAAUGAAAUGAACAAAGAGGAUAAAACAAUGGCAAACUCAUCGGCUACAAGGGCGUAGCUAACCGAGGGAAGGACACAAAUCUGUUUUCUUUUUGAAGAAUAAAUCUGCAGCUAUAAAAGAAAAGAUUGCAGUUAUGGGAGGAUGACAAUUGAAAAACCUUCACAUCAGCCGUGAAACUGGAACGAGAAUUAAACAGAUUAAGAGCGACAUUAGCUAUAAUUUUCAAUCGUGAAAUUCAGAAGUUUGAAGAGAACUAAAAAGAAUUAGGGAAAAAACGAAAUUGGAGGAAAAAUUGAGAAUAAAACUAACAUGAAAUAUGAAGAGAACUCACAAAAAGUACUUCAAAGUAGUCGAAAGAGUUGGGAAGAGCGGUGAUGUUUCUCUAUCCUUGAAAUGAAAGAAGCCGCAAGUAGGAAAGCAUUAUUAUGAAUAAGCAAAAUGUCAAUUUUUGCCCUUGGUUAAUCACACUUUCCUUUUC